UACAGAGGUCUCAAGCGUUGCUCGGAAUCAUUGGGCGUAAAGAGCGUGUAGGCGGCCGUACAGGUCAGCUGUGAAAACUCGAGGCUCAACCUCGAGACGUCGGUUGAAACCGUACGGCUAGAGUCCGGAAGAGGAGAGUGGAAUUCCCGGUGUAGCGGUGAAAUGCGCAGAUAUCAGGAGGAACACCGGUGGCGAAGGCGGGUCUCUGGGCCGAUACUGACGCUGAGGAGCGAAAGCGUGGGGAGCGAACAGG
rnacentral:rRNA from 1 species